rnacentral:rRNA from 1 species
CCUACGGGUGACUGCAGUGAGGAAUAUUGGUCAAUGGGCGAGAGCCUGAACCAGCCAAGUCGCGUGAGGGAGUACUGCCCUAUGGGUUGUAAACCUCUUUUGUCGGGGAGCAAAAGCCGGACGUGUCCGGCUGUGAGAGUAACCGAAUAAAAAGGAACGGCAAACUCCGGGCCAGCAGCCGCGGUAAUACGGAGGAUGCGGGCGUUAUCCGGAUUUUUUGGGUUUAAAGGGUGCUGAGGCGGAUUUUUAAGUCCUCGGUAAAAUCGUGGGGCUCAACCCCAUCCAGCCGUUGAAACUGGGGAUCUAGAGUGUGCGAGAGGUAUGCGGAAUGCGUGGUGUAGCGGUGAAAUGCAUAGAUAUCACGCAGAACCCCGAUUGCGAAGGCAGCAUACCGGAGCACAACUGACGCUCAGGCACGAAAGCGUGGGUAUCGAACAGGAUUAGAUACCCCAGUAGUC